rnacentral:rRNA from 1 species
CCCCGGGCUCAACCUGGGAACUGCGUUNUGAACUGGGUGACUGGAGUGUGUCAGAGGGAGGUAGAAUUCCACGUGUAGCAGUGAAAUGCGUAGAGAUGUGGAGGAAUACCGAUGGCGAAGGCAGCCUCCUGGGAUAACACUGACGUUCAUGCCCGAAAGCGUGGGUAGCAAACAGGAUUAGAUACCCUGGUAGUCCACGCCCUAAACGAUGUCGAUUAGCUGUUGGGCAGCAUGACUGCUUAGUAGCGAAGCUAACGCGUGAAAUCGACCGCCUGGGGAGUACGGUCGCAAGAUUAAAACUCAAAGGAAUUGACGGGGACCCGCACAAGCGGUGGAUGAUGUGGAUUAAUUCGAUGCAACGCGAAGAACCUUACCUGGUCUUGACAUGUGCGGAACCCUCCAGAGACGGAGGGGUGCCUUCGGGAGCCGUAACACAGGUGCUGCAUGGCUGUCGUCAGCUCGUGUCGUGAGAGGUUGGGUUAAGUCCCGCAACGAGCGCAACCCUUGUCAUUAGUUGCCAUCAUUAAGUUGGGCACUCUAAUGAGACUGCCGGUGACAAGCCGGAGGAAGGUGGGGAUGACGUCAAGUCCUCAUGGCCCUUAUGACCAGGGCUUCACACGUCAUACAAUGGUCGGUACAGAGGGUAGCCAAGCCGCGAGGUGGAGCCAAUCUCACAAAACCGAUCGUAGUCCGGAUUGCACUCUGCAAC